UGAAGGGAGAUCAAUGGUGUUGGCAACAAUCUCUUCAGAAAGGGUGGUAUCUAGCCAUGGAAGCCCUAUUCUAUAAAUAUUAGGCUGGCCACGUUACUGAUAACCGCAGAACGAGCAAUGAAUCCCCAACGACAAACGAACCUAGGGGCGGGGCAUUUUCAGGGAGUAGCCUGCUUCUUCAAAAACUUCCUAGCACAUACAUUAAGGGAGCUAUCGAAAGGUGACUGAAACCCCAGAAAUGAGGACUAUCCGAGCUAAUGAUAGAGGCAAGAAGAAUCCAAAAGAGAGAUCCAAGAG
rnacentral:lncRNA from 1 species